GUAGGGAAUAUUGGGCAAUGGAGGCAACUCUGACCCAGCCAUGCCGCGUGCAGGAUGACGGCCCUCUGGGUUGUAAACUGCUUUUAUACGGGAAGAAAAAAUACUACGUGUAGUAUACUGACGGUACCGUAAGAAUAAGGAUCGGCUAACUCCGUGCCAGCAGCCGCGGUAAUACGGAGGAUCCAAGCGUGGUCCGGAUUUAUUGGGUUUAAAGGGUGCGUAGGCGGAUCUUUAAGUCAGUGGUGAAAGCCUGCAGCUUAACUGUAGAAUUGCCAUUGAAACUGAAGAUCUUGAAUAUUGUUAAAGUAGGCGGAAUGUAUCAUGUAGCGGUGAAAUGCUUAGAUAUGAUACAGAACACCGAUAGCGAAGGCAGCUUGCUGAACCAUUAUUGACGCUGAGGCACGAAAGCGUGGGGAGCGAACAGGAUUAGAUACCCGAGUAGUCC
rnacentral:rRNA from 1 species